AGGGGUGACUGGUGACAGAGUGAGGGAAGGAAGGGGUGACUAGUGACAGAGUGAGGGAGGUGGUGACUGUCACUAGUCACCACCUCCCUCACUCUGUCACUACUCCCUCCCUCCUUCUGUCACUAGUCACCCCCUCCGUCCCCUACUCUGUCACUAGUCACCCCCUCCCUCACUCGGUCACCAGUCAUCCCCU